CGUUCUCAGUUCGGAUCGGAGUCUGNAACCCGACUCCGUGAAGCUGGAUUCGCUAGUAAUCGCGCAUCAGCCAUGGCGCGGUGAAUACGUUCCCGGGCCUUGUACACACCGCCCGUCAAGCCAUGGGAGCCGGGGGUGCUUGAAGUGCGUCGCCGCAAGGCGCGCCCUAGAGCAAAACCGGUGACUGGGGCUAAGUCGUAACAAGGUAUC
rnacentral:rRNA from 1 species